GAUUAAGUUAUUAAGGGCGCACGGUGGAUGCCUUGGCACUAGAAGCCGAUGAAGGACGUUACUAACGACGAUAUGCUUUGGGGAGCUGUAAGUAAGCUUUGAUCCAGAGAUUUCCGAAUGGGGAAACCCAGCAUGAGUUAUGUCAUGUUAUCGAUAUGUGAAUACAUAGCAUAUCAGAAGGCACACCCGGAGAACUGAAACAUCUUAGUACCCGGAGGAAGAGAAAGAAAAUUCGAUUCCCUUAGUAGCGGCGAGCGAAACGGGAAGAGCCCAAACCAACAAGCUUGCUUGUUGGGGUUGUAGGACACUCUAUACGGAGUUACAAAGGACGACAUUAGACGAAUCAUCUGGAAAGAUGAAUCAAAGAAGGUAAUAAUCCUGUAGUCGAAAAUGUUGUCUCUCUUGAGUGGAUCCUGAGUACGACGGAGCACGUGAAAUUCCGUCGGAAUCUGGGAGGACCAUCUCCUAAGGCUAAAUACUCUCUAGUGACCGAUAGUGAACCAGUACCGUGAGGGAAAGGUGAAAAGCACCCCGGAAGGGGAGUGAAAUAGAACCUGAAACCGUGUGCUUACAAGUAGUCAGAGCCCGUUAAUGGGUGAUGGCGUGCCUUUUGUAGAAUGAACCGGCGAGUUACGAUUUGAUGCAAGGUUAAGCAGUAAAUGUGGAGCCGUAGCGAAAGCGAGUCUGAAUAGGGCGUUUAGUAUUUGGUCGUAGACCCGAAACCAGGUGAUCUACCCUUGGUCAGGUUGAAGUUCAGGUAACACUGAAUGGAGGACCGAACCGACUUACGUUGAAAAGUGAGCGGAUGAACUGAGGGUAGCGGAGAAAUUCCAAUCGAACCUGGAGAUAGCUGGUUCUCUCCGAAAUAGCUUUAGGGCUAGCCUCAAGUGAUGAUUAUUGGAGGUAGAGCACUGUUUGGACGAGGGGCCCCUCUCGGGUUACCGAAUUCAGACAAACUCCGAAUGCCAAUUAAUUUAACUUGGGAGUCAGAACAUGGGUGAUAAGGUCCGUGUUCGAAAGGGAAACAGCCCAGACCACCAGCUAAGGUCCCAAAAUAUAUGUUAAGUGGAAAAGGAUGUGGCGUUGCCCAGACAACUAGGAUGUUGGCUUAGAAGCAGCCAUCAUUUAAAGAGUGCGUAAUAGCUCACUAGUCGAGUGACACUGCGCCGAAAAUGUACCGGGGCUAAACAUAUUACCGAAGCUGUGGAUUGUCCUUUGGACAAUGGUAGGAGAGCGUUCUAAGGGCGUUGAAGCAUGAUCGUAAGGACAUGUGGAGCGUUUAGAAGUGAGAAUGCCGGUGUGAGUAGCGAAAGACGGGUGAGAAUCCCGUCCACCGAUUGACUAAGGUUUCCAGAGGAAGGCUCGUCCGCUCUGGGUUAGUCGGGUCCUAAGCUGAGGCCGACAGGCGUAGGCGAUGGAUAACAGGUUGAUAUUCCUGUACCACCUAUAAUCGUUUUAAUCGAUGGGGGGACGCAGUAGGAUAGGCGAAGCGUGCGAUUGGAUUGCACGUCUAAGCAGUAAGGCUGAGUAUUAGGCAAAUCCGGUACUCGUUAAGGCUGAGCUGUGAUGGGGAGAAGACAUUGUGUCUUCGAGUCGUUGAUUUCACACUGCCGAGAAAAGCCUCUAGAUAGAAAAUAGGUGCCCGUACCGCAAACCGACACAGGUAGUCAAGAUGAGAAUUCUAAGGUGAGCGAGCGAACUCUCGUUAAGGAACUCGGCAAAAUGACCCCGUAACUUCGGGAGAAGGGGUGCUCUUUAGGGUUAACGCCCAGAAGAGCCGCAGUGAAUAGGCCCAAGCGACUGUUUAUCAAAAACACAGGUCUCUGCUAAACCGUAAGGUGAUGUAUAGGGGCUGACGCCUGCCCGGUGCUGGAAGGUUAAGAGGAGUGGUUAGCUUCUGCGAAGCUACGAAUCGAAGCCCCAGUAAACGGCGGCCGUAACUAUAACGGUCCUAAGGUAGCGAAAUUCCUUGUCGGGUAAGUUCCGACCCGCACGAAAGGCGUAACGAUUUGGGCACUGUCUCAACGAGAGACUCGGUGAAAUCAUAGUACCUGUGAAGAUGCAGGUUACCCGCGACAGGACGGAAAGACCCCGUGGAGCUUUACUGUAGCCUGAUAUUGAAAUUCGGCACAGCUUGUACAGGAUAGGUAGGAGCCUUUGAAACGUGAGCGCUAGCUUACGUGGAGGCGCUGGUGGGAUACUACCCUAGCUGUGUUGGCUUUCUAACCCGCACCACUUAUCGUGGUGGGAGACAGUGUCAGGCGGGCAGUUUGACUGGGGCGGUCGCCUCCUAAAAGGUAACGGAGGCGCUCAAAGGUUCCCUCAGAAUGGUUGGAAAUCAUUCAUAGAGUGUAAAGGCAUAAGGGAGCUUGACUGCGAGACCUACAAGUCGAGCAGGGUCGAAAGACGGACUUAGUGAUCCGGUGGUUCCGCAUGGAAGGGCCAUCGCUCAACGGAUAAAAGCUACCCCGGGGAUAACAGGCUUAUCUCCCCCAAGAGUUCACAUCGACGGGGAGGUUUGGCACCUCGAUGUCGGCUCAUCGCAUCCUGGGGCUGUAGUCGGUCCCAAGGGUUGGGCUGUUCGCCCAUUAAAGCGGUACGCGAGCUGGGUUCAGAACGUCGUGAGACAGUUCGGUCCCUAUCCGUCGUGGGCGUAGGAAAUUUGAGAGGAGCUGUCCUUAGUACGAGAGGACCGGGAUGGACAUACCUCUGGUGUACCAGUUGUCGUGCCAACGGCAUAGCUGGGUAGCUAUGUGUGGACGGGAUAAGUGCUGAAAGCAUCUAAGCAUGAAGCCCCCCUCAAGAUGAGAUUUCCCAACUUCGGUUAUAAGAUCCCUCAAAGAUGAUGAGGUUAAUAGGUUCGAGGUGGAAGCAUGGUGACAUGUGGAGCUGACGAAUACUAAUCGAUCGAAGACUUAAUCAA
rnacentral:rRNA from 1 species